AAGACCUUUGCGCUUUUGGAGCGGCCGAUGCCUGAUUAGCUUGUUGGUAAGGUAAAGGCUUACCAAGGCUUCGAUCAGUAGCUGGUCUGAGAGGACGGCCAGCCACACUGGGACUGAGACACGGCCCAGACUCCUACGGGAGGCAGCAGUGGGGAAUUUUGGACAAUGGGGGAAACCCUGAUCCAGCCAUGCCGCGUGAGUGAAGAAGGCCUUCGGGUUGUAAAGCUCUUUCAGCCGGAACGAAACGGUUACGGAUAAUACCCGUGACUACUGACGGUACCGGAAGAAGAAGCACCGGCUAACUACGUGCCAGCAGCCGCGGUAAUACGUAGGGUGCGAGCGUUAAUCGGAAUUACUGGGCGUAAAGCGUGCGCAGGUGGUUUUGUAAGUCAGAUGUGAAAGCCCCGGGCUCAACCUGGGAACU
rnacentral:rRNA from 1 species